rnacentral:rRNA from 1 species
AAGAAGGAAAGGAAAGCAGCCAGAGCUACUUUCACGUGGAUUCAAAGGAACUUUGCGCAUUGCCCUGUGGAUGCCACUGAUGAUGUGAUCCAGACACAUGCUCGUGUCUAUAUGUGGUACGUUGUCUCAAGGACUUUGUUUCCUGACGCCACAAGCAAGAACGCUCCAUGGAUGUGGCUGAAGGCGUUGACCGUCUUCGAUAGCAGAUGGAGCUGGGGUUCAGUGACUCUUGCCUACUUGUACCAACAGGUAGUUGGCUUGUUUUGUUAUCAAUUCAUUUCUUCAUUAGCAAUGCAACAUUGUUUUCAAGUUAACAUUGUUUUCUUUUAUAUGCAGCUGGACGAUGCGUGUUGCAGGAUCACAUAUAGUGCAUGCAUUGGUGGUAAUCUGCUUCUACUUUCAGUAUGGGCUGGGAGCGUCUGCCUGUUGGACGCCCGAAGAGAGUCAAGUUUAAUCUUGGGAUGA